UGUCUCAUUCCACUAUUAUAUAGGUAAUGUGUCUCAUUCCACUAUUAUAUAGGUAAUGUGUAUUACUCCACUAUAGGUAAUGUGUCUCAUUCCACUAUUAUAUAGGUAAUGUGUCUUAUUCCACUAUAGGUAAUGUGUCUUACUCCACUAUAGGUCAUGUGUCUCAUUCCACUAUUAUAUAGGUAAUGUGUCUUACUCCACUAUAGGUAAUGUGUCUUACUCCACUAUAGGUAAUGUGUCUUACUCCGCUAUUAUAUAGAUAAUGUGUCUUACUCCACUAUAGGUAAUGUUUUACUCUUCAAUAAGUAAUGCAUUGUGAUACUUCAAGGGCUUAUACAAUGACAUCAUAAACUUAAUAAGUGCAGUGAUUGUGUAUUAACAGAUAUGUAGACUUAUGUCAAUCAUGGUUAGGCUUUAUCCAUACUUUAUAGGCCUUUAUGAAUGUGUUUAUAACAGGGCUUUGAACCGGUUCAAGGAACGAAAACGAAAACCGGGAACUUUUUGUAUUUUACAGGGAACAGAAACGAAACCGGAAACGUUAUUAUUUUUUAUGUUCUGGAACAGGAACACUUAUUUAAAAAUAAUGGUAACCGGUUAAUACCGGUUUUAUUGCGUUCCCCAAAGUUUUCAUUGCCUAAAAAAAAAAAGUUAUUUUCCUGCGCACGUUACCAUGACGGCUGAGGUUCACUUCCUGUGUGACAUCACAUCAGACAUUCGCUGACUGUAUGGAGAGAGAGCGGUGGAUUACAAAGUCUCCACUCCACAUCUUAAAUAAGGGGUAAAUUACGAUCCAUCGUUAAUUAAAACGCUCAUUCCAAACACAAUAACAAUAGCUAUAUUUGUCGACUCCACGUUAAUGAUGGACUAGCGAACAUUUGGCUAAAUGGCACCAACACCUCUGUUUGCCUAAUGCACAGAUGGCUUGUUACGGUAUGAGUAGGCCUACUGGAUGAUAAAAAAUGACGUUAGUCCGCACACUGAAAACUCCUUAUAAAAAAGAUUUGUUUGCCUUGUGACAAGUGCCUUGUCUUCUUGCUGUCUUCAUGUCUGAAGAAGGGCAUUCAGCCCGAAACGUCACAUGUGGUGAUUAAAUCUUUUUUAUAAGGAGUUUUCAGUGUGCGGACUAACGUCAUUUUUUAUUACUGAAAUUUUUGGGUCCAGCACCUGUUUGGAUCCGGAUGUGCGCGUUUUUUGUAUUUUUAGGCCUACUGGAUGGCCUUUCCCCCCGACAGUUGGAAUUUGUUGUUGCCCGAGUGGCAUAACCACGUGUCUUAAUAAUGUUGUUACGUUUGUGUGGACAUUUUCUCUUUUAACAAUAAACUACACAUUUGAAA